UACGGGGGGAGCAAGCGUUGUUCGGAUUUACUGGGCGUAAAGGGCGCGUAGGCGGUCAGCACAAGUCAGUUGUGAAAUCUCCGGGCUUAACCCGGAAAGGUCAACUGAUACUGUGCGACUAGAGUGCGGAAGGGGCAACUGGAAUUCUCGGUGUAGCGGUGAAAUGCGUAGAUAUCGAGAGGAACACCUGCGGCGAAGGCGGGUUGCUGGGCCGACACUGACGCUGAGGUGCGAAAGCGUGGGGAGCAAACAGG
rnacentral:rRNA from 1 species